CCAGAGAACUUAGCAGAGAUGCUUUGGUGCCUUCGGGAACUCUGAGACAGGUGCUGCAUGGCUGUCGUCAGCUCGUGUUGUGAAAUGUUGGGUUAAGUCCCGCAACGAGCCGCAACCCUUAUCCUUUGUUGCCAGCGGUUAGGCCGGGAACUCAAAGGAGACUGCCAGUGAUAAACUGGAGGAAGGUGGGGAUGACGUCAAGUCAUCAUGGCCCUUACGAGUAGGGCUACACACGUGCUACAAUGGCGCAUACAAAGAGAAGCGACCUCGCGAGAGCAAGCGGACCUCAUAAAGUGCGUCGUAGUCCGGAUUGGAGUCUGCAACUCGACUCCAUGAAGUCGGAAUCGCUAGUAAUCGUGGAUCAGAAUGCCACGGUGAAUACGUUCCCGGGCCUUGUACACACCGCCCGUCACACCAUGGGAGUGGGUUGCAAAAGAAGUAGGUGGCUUAACCUUCGGGAGGGCGCUUACCACUUUGUGAUUCGUGACUGGGGUGAAGUCGUAACAAGGUAGGCGUAGUGCU
rnacentral:rRNA from 1 species